AACUGCGAGUGAAGAGGGAAAAGCUCAAAUUUUAAAUCUGGCAGUCUCUUAGCUGUCCGAGUUGUAAUCUAGAGAAGCGUCUUCCGCGCUGGACCGUGUACAAGUCUCCUGGAAGGGAGCAUCAUAGAGGGUGACAAUCCCGUCUUUGACACGGACUACCAGGGCUUAUGUGUCGCGCUCUCAACGAGUCGAGUUGUUUGGGAAUGCAGCUCAAAAUGGGUGGUAAAUUCCAUCUAAAGCUAAAUAUGGGCGAGAAACCGAUAGCGAACAAGUACCGUGAGGGAAAGAUGAAAAGAACUUUGGAAAGAGAGUUAAACAGUACGUGAAAUUGCUGAAAGGGAAACGUUUGAUGUCAGUCACGUCAAUUAAGGAUCAACCUCGCUUCAUUGUCAAGGUGUACUUCUUAGUUGUCGGGUCAGCAUCAGUUUCGAUCACGGUACAAAGUCGAGAGAAAUGUGGCACUCCUCGGAGUGUGUUAUAGUCUUUCGUAGUAUGCAGUGCUUGGGACUGAGGAACUCUGCACGAUUUCUUUUUGUGCAUAGGUUGCUGGCAUAAUGGCCUUAAGCGACCCGUCUUGAAACACGGACCAAGGAGUCUAACAUGCCUGCGAGUGUUUGGGUGACAAAACUCGAGUGCGAAAUGAAAGUGAACGUCAAGACCUCUGUCAUGGAGGGCAUUGACACCCGGACCAAAGUCUAUGACAAUGGAUCCGUGGUAGAGCAUGUAUGUUGGGACCCGAAAGAUGGUGAACUAUGCCUGAAUAGGGUGAAGCCAGAGGAAACUCUGGUGGAGGCUCGUAGCGAUUCUGACGUGCAAAUCGAUCGUCAA
rnacentral:rRNA from 1 species